rnacentral:rRNA from 1 species
UACGGGGGGGCAAGCGUUGUUCGGAAUUACUGGGCGUAAAGCGCACGUAGGCGGAUAUUUAAGUCAGGGGUGAAAUCCCGGGGCUCAACCCCGGAACUGCCUUUGAUACUGAGGAGCUUGAGUCCGGGAGAGGUGAGUGGAACUGCGAGUGUAGAGGUGAAAUUCGUAGAUAUUCGCAAGAACACCAGUGGCGAAGGCGGCUCACUGGCCCGGUACUGACGCUGAGGUGCGAAAGCGUGGGGAGCA